rnacentral:rRNA from 1 species
GAUGAACGCUGGCGGCGUGCCUAAUACAUGUAAGUCGAGCGAACAGAUAAGGAGCUUGCUCCUUUGACGUUAGCGGCGGACGGGUGAGUAACACGUGGGUAACCUACCUAUAAGACUGGGAUAACUUCGGGAAACCGGAGCUAAUACCGGAUAAUAUUUCGAACCGCAUGGUUCGAUAGUGAAAGAUGGUUUUGCUAUCACUUAUAGAUGGACCCGCGCCGUAUUAGCUAGUCGGUAAGGUAACGGCUUACCAAGGCGACGAUACGUAGCCGACCUGAGAGGGUGAUCGGCCACACUGGAACUGGGACACGGUCCAGACUCCUACGGGAGGCAGCAGUAGGGAAUCUUCCGCAAUGGGCGAAAGCCUGACGGAGCAACGCCGCGUGAGUGAUGAAGGUCUUCGGAUCGUAAAACUCUGUUAUUAGGGAAGAACAUACGUGUAAGUAACUGUGCACGUCUUGACGGUACCUAAUCAGAAAGCCACGGCUAACUACGUG